CUCGCUUUCUCCACGCCACACGGUACUGCGCUUAGGGGCCAGCAUAUCUAUGCACCAUUUCUUGCCUAUUACCGGAGAAAGGAGAAGUCAUCUAGGAUACCGCUCCUCCCACAAGAAUUGGCACAGAGUCAGAACUCGAUCUUGGUUGAAGGACUUAAAUUGACAGCGGUACAGUGCCCACUUUCCCCACACAAGGAGAUUUUAUGUUUAAGUCCUCUCUACACCCAACGUGAGGCUCAAACUCACAGCCCUGAGAUCAAGAGUCACAUAUUCUACCGACUGAGCUGGCAGGUACCCCCAAAGAAUUCUUUGAAAAACUUUUAUUGAUAUGUAAUUCACAUACCAUAUAAUAAUUCUUUUUCGUAAUAUUAUGCCGUCUUGUAGUAUCUUGCUCUCCUUGUAAGUCUGAAAAUUCCCAUUUGUUCUGUCAAUAGUCCUGAGAAGCCUGACUUAAAGGUCUUUAUUCUUUCUGUAAAAAAUAAAAGCACUUUUCAGUCUAUGUGAUCA
rnacentral:lncRNA from 1 species